UACGGAGGGUGCGAGCGUUAAUCGGAAUCACUGGGCGUAAAGCGCGUGUAGGCGGCCGGGCAAGUCGGAUGUGAAAUCCCGAGGCUCAACCUCGGAACUGCAUUCGAAACUGCUCGGCUAGAGUCCCGGAGAGGAUGGCGGAAUUCCCGGUGUAGGGGUGAAAUCCGUAGAUAUCGGGAGGAACACCAGUGGCGAAGGCGGCCAUCUGGACGGUGACUGACGCUGAGACGCGAAAGCGUGGGGAGCAAACAGG
rnacentral:rRNA from 1 species